ensembl:lncRNA
CAAUAAAAAAACAACAGUGUUACCCCUUAUGUUUCUUUUCAUGACGACCAAUAAGAAACAACAGUGUUUCCCCUUAUGUUUUUUUUCAUGACGACCAAAGAAAAACAACAGUGUUACCCCUCAUGUAUCAUUUGAUAAAAACGACAGUGUUACUCCCUAUGUUUUAAUGGAUAUAUAUCGACAGCGUUACCCCUUAUGUUUUUUUCAUGAGGACCAAUAAAAAACGACAGUGUUACCCCUUAUAUUUUAUUUGACAAAGACAACAGUGUUACACAUGAUGUUUUUUGUUCAUGACUACCAAUAAAAAACAACAGUGUUACCCCUUAUGUUUUCUUUCAUGACGACCGAUAAAAACAACAGUGUUACCCCUUAGGUAUUUUUUCAUGACGACCAAUAAAAAACAACAGUGUUACCCCUUAUGGUUUUUUUCAUGACGACCAAUAAAAAACCACAGUGUUACCCCUUAUGUUUUUUUUCAUGACGACCAAUAAAAAACAACAGUGUUACCCCUUAUGUUUUUUUUCAUGACGACCAAAGUAAAAUAACUGUUACCCCUGAUGUUUUUUUUCAUGACGACCAAUAAAAAACAACAGUGUUACCCCUUAUGUUUUUUUUCAUGACGACCAAUAAAAACAACAGUGUCAUGUUUUUUUUCAUGACGACCAAUAAAAAACGACAGUGUUACCCCUUAUGUUUUUUCUCAUGACGACCAAUAAAAAACAACAGUGUUACCCCUUAUGUUUUUUUCAGGACGACCAAUAAGAAACAACAGUGUUACCCCUUAUGUUUUUUUUCAUGACGACCAAUAAAAAACGACAGUGUUACCCCUAGUGUUUUUUUUCAUGACGACCAAAGUAAAACGACAGUGUUACCCCUUAUGUUUUUUGUGAUAAAAAACGACAGCGUUAUCCCAUACGUUUUAUUUGAUGACUGGGAAUAAAAAACGACAGUGUUACCCCUUAUGUUUUAUUUGAUAAAAAACGACAGUAAUAAUAAUAAUAAUACAUUUAAUUUAGAGGCGCCUUUCAAGAUACCCAAGGUCACCUACAGUGUUACCCCUUUUUUUUUUCUGAUAAAAAACGACAGUGUUACCCCUUAUGUUUUUUUUGAUGACGGCCGAUAAAAAACGACAGUGUUACCCCUUAUGUUUUUUUUGAUAAAAAACGACAGUGUUACCCCUUAUGUUUUUUUUGAUGACGGCCGAUAAAAAACGACAGUGUUACCCUUUAUGUUUUUUUUGAUGACGGCCGAUAAAAAACGACAUUGUUACCCCUUAUGUUUUUUUUGAUAAAAAACGACAGUGUUACCCCUUAUGUUUUUUUUGAUGACGGCCGAUAAAAAACGACAGUGUUGCCCCUUAUGUUAUUUUUGAUGACGGCCGAUAGACAACGACAGUGUUACCCCUUAUGUUCUUUUUGAUAAAAAACGACAGUUGUUACCCUUAUGUUUUUUUUUGAUGACGGCCGAUAAAAAACGACAGUGUUACCCCUUAUGUUUUUUUUGAUGACGGCCGAUAAAAAACGACAG